AGAGUUUGAUCCUGGCUCAGGAUGAACGCUGACAGAAUGCUUAACACAUGCAAGUCUUUGGCGAAGCUGUGCUUGCACAGCCUAGCCAAGGCGGACGGGUGAGUAACGCGUAAGGAACUUGCCCUGCAGUCAGGGAUAACAGACGGAAACGACUGAUAAGACCUGGUAAAGUCAGGCGGACUCAUGUCCAGCCUGAUGAAAAGGAAUGCUGCAGGAGAGCCUUGCGUCCUAUUAGCUUGUUGGUGGGGUAACGGCCCACCAAGGCGAUGAUAGGUAGCCGGCCUGAGAGGGUGGACGGCCACAAGGGGACUGAGAUACGGCCCUUACUCCUACGGGAGGCAGCAGUGGGGAAUAUUGGACAAUGGGGGCAACCCUGAUCCAGCAAUUCUGUGUGCACGAAGAAGGUUUUCGGAUUGUAAAGUGCUUUCAGCAGGGAAGAAGGAAGUGACGGUACCUGCAGAAGAAGCGACGGCUAAAUACGUGCCAGCAGCCGCGGUAAUACGUAUGUCGCGAGCGUUAUCCGGAAUUAUUGGGCAUAAAGGGCAUCUAGGCGGCCGGAUAAGUCUGGGGUGAAAACUUGCGGCUCAACCGCAAGCCUGCCCUGGAAACUAUGUGGCUAGAGUACUGGAGAGGUGGACGGAACUGCACGAGUAGAGGUGAAAUUCGUAGAUAUGUGCAGGAAUGCCGAUGAUGAAGAUAGUUCACUGGACGGUAACUGACGCUGAAGUGCGAAAGCUAGGGGAGCAAACAGGAUUAGAUACCCUGGUAGUCCUAGCUGUAAACGAUGAUUACUGGGUGUGGGCAGGAAGACUGUCUGUGCCGAAGCGAAUGCGAUAAGUAAUCCGCCUGGGGAGUACGGCCGCAAGGCUGAAACUCAAAGGAAUUGACGGGGACCCGCACAAGCGGUGGAGCAUGUGGUUUAAUUCGACGCAACGCGAGGAACCUUACCAG
rnacentral:rRNA from 1 species